rnacentral:rRNA from 1 species
UACAGAGGGUGCGAGCGUUAAUCGGAAUUACUGGGCGUAAAGCGUGCGUAGACGGUUUCGUAAGUCGGGUGUGAAAUCCCCGGGCUCAACCUGGGAAUUGCAUUCGAAACUGCGAGGCUAGGGUACGGAAGAGGGAAGCGGAAUUUCUGGUGUAGCGGUGAAAUGCGUAGAUAUCAGAAGGAACAUCAGUGGCGAAAGCGGCUUCCUGGUUCAGUACCGACGUUCGGGCACGAAAGCGUGGGGAGCAAACAGG